AUAUAAAAACUGAUCCUUGUGGUUUAUUUAUUGACGAGUUUCCAUUUUUAGGAGCCACUCCGGAUGGUUUAUGUAGCGAUGACACAAUCAUUGAAAUUAAAUGCCCAAUAACGGCAUUCAAAUUGGGGUUAGAAGAAGCCAUAAAAAAAGGAAAGUAACGUUUUGGAAAGUAACAAAAAAAGGGCUGGAAAUCAAUAAAAACCACCAUUGGUACUAUCAAGUGCAAGGGCAACUACAUGUUACUAAAAGAUCAAAGUACUUAUUUGCAGUUUGGUCAAAUGACGACUCUCCGCUAAAAAACGGACUACAUCGAUAGAGAUGAUACAUUUGGAAGGAGAAAAUGAAAAGUAAAACUUACAUCAUUUUAAACAGACUGUUUGUUGCCAGAAUAAGUCGACCCCCUCUAUCCUCGAGAAGCUGGACAAAAGAUGCUCUCAUGCAAUAGGUCUGACUCCGAAGUUGAAUACCAGUCGCAGCCGGGGCGCUCAGCAGUAACCGAGGUUACGAAAAACGUGCAGCCGAAGAAAAAGGCAUCGCCUUCGAAAUCAACAUCGAGGAAAUACAAACAUCAUAGCUCGGACCUCUUCGGCUUAGAGAACGGCGAGCUUCUCCCAGCGACAUAGUGGACCUUGGAUCGUCCCUCGUGAGCCGCGUCGCCAACGGGAAAGUACGGCGGACAGCCGACCUAACGGGGGACUUCUAUGUAGAGGUGAAGGUAUAUCUAAGGCUGAAGCCGCUUCCACUCCUAGAGAGGAUCGAUGGAAGAAGGCGUCGGUUGCACUGAAAGUGCAAAUUAAUAGAGACUCCUCGCCGUGGGAGGCCUUGCAAAUAUUCUUGAGACGGGCUCAUGAGCUAUUUGAUAACUCGGAGACCAUCUUUUAAAGUGAUAAUCAAAUCAAGAUGGACAAAUAUAAGAAACCAAUUUAAAAAAACCCUCAACAAAAAACAACUGAAAAGUGGUCAAGCAGCAGUCAAAGUAAAAAAUAUUAAUACGACGAUUUGCUCCAAUUUUUGGUCGUUUAUUUACAUUACAGAGAAGUGAUUGAAAAUAUUUCAAACGACCAUGAAUCGGAAGAGACGCUUCAAGAUAGUACUGAUAUUCCAAGAGCUGCACUGACUGAAAUUACAAAAAAAUGUGCCCCAAAAUACAAGUUCACGUAAUUCAUCUCAAAAUACAAGUACAUUAAAAAAAAUGCAAGCUCGUACUCGUACGCAAAGGCAAGCAU